GCCGGAGUGGCUUAGCUGGUUAUAUUGCGUAAAAAGCGCAUCAGACUAAAGCGCCAGACUCAUAAUCUGGAGGCCGCGGGCUCGAAUCCCGCCUCCGGCA
rnacentral:tRNA from 1 species